CAGGGAGACAACAAAAUGUUUAAUAUUAUUAUUUUGUCACCUCAGGUCGAUCGGUAUCUCACGUUCUUAUUUUUUUAAGAAUUUCAUUUCCUAAGUUUUUCUAGGUCACACCCAUUAUUUUUCCUGGGCCAUUAGCUCAGGUGGUUAGAGCGCACCCCUGAUAAGGGUGAGGUCCCUGGUUCAAGUCCAGGAUGGCCCAUAUCUCUAUGUUGGGGGUAUAGCUCAGUUGGUAGAGCGCCUGCUUUGCAAGCAGGAUGUCAGCGGUUCGAGUCCGCUUACCUCCACUGAUUACCACCUCUUCCAUAAUAAUUUAGAAGGGAAUUAUUUUGAGUUGUGGUCAAAAUCUGGACGAAUCUAGCUUCCUAAUGAAAUCAUUAAGAUGCUGGACUCAUUGAAUUUAUUCAUUGUUUUCAGAGAACCUUGACAACUGCAUAGAUUAUUUUUAAAGACAAUAAGCAUCUUUAAUGAUGCAGAUUUAUUAUUUGUGCGAAUGCAUUAAUAACAAUUCUAUUAAGCUGAUGCUUCAAUAUUGAAGUUAUU
rnacentral:tRNA from 1 species